rnacentral:lncRNA from 14 species
AUGAUGGCCCACGAUCGCCUUAGCCAGUCAGGGCACAUGUUGUUAAACUUAAGUCGUGGCAAGCAAGACUUUCUGAAGGAAGUUGUGGAAUCUUUUGCUAACAAAAGUGGCCAGUCUGCUCUCUGUGAUGCUCUGUUUUCUAGUCAGUCAUCCAAGGAUAGAUCUUUUCUUGGUAACGAUGAUAUUGGAAACCUGGAUGGGCAAGUACCAGACCUAGAUGACUUGGCUAGAUAUGAUACUGGAGCUGUUCGAGCACAUAGUGGUAGUCUUCAGCACCUUACCUGGCUUGGCUUACAGUGGAACUCACUGCCUACUUUACCAGCAAUUCGAAAAUGGUUAAAACAGCUCUUCCACCAUUUGCCUCAGGAGACAUCAAGGCUUGAAACAAAUGCACCUGAAUCAAUAUGUAUUUUAGAUCUUGAAGUAUUCUUACUCGGAGUAAUAUAUACCAGUCACUUACAACUAAGGGAGAAGAGUAAUUCUCACCACACUUCCUAUCAGCCAUUGUGUUUGCCACUUCCAGUGUGCAGACAGCUUUGUACAGAAAGACAGAAGUCCUGGUGGGAUGCAGUUUGUACUCUGAUUCACAGAAAGGCAUUACCUGGAACCUCAGCAAAAUUGCGACUUCUAGUUCAACGUGAAAUAAACAGUCUGAGAGGCCAGGAAAAGCACGGCCUACAACCUGCUCUGCUUGUGCAUUGGGCACAGAGUCUUCAGAAAACAGGCAGCAGUCUUAAUUCUUUUUAUGAUCAACGGGAAUACAUAGGCAGAAGUGUUCAUUAUUGGAGGAAAGUCUUACCAUUGUUGAAGAUGAUCAGAAAGAAGAAUAGUAUUCCUGAACCUAUUGAUCCUCUGUUUAAACAUUUCCAUAGUGUGGAUAUUCAGGUAUCUGAAAUUGGCGAAUAUGAAGAAGAUGCACACAUAACUUUUGCUAUAUUGGAUGCUGUUAACGGAAACAUAGAAGAUGCCAUGACUGCUUUUGAAUCUAUUAAAAAUGUAGUUUCUUAUUGGAAUCUUGCACUGAUUUUUCACAGGAAAGCAGAAGAUAUUGAAAAUGAUGCCUUGUCUCCUGAAGAACAAGAAGAGUGCAAAAAUUAUCUGAGAAAGACUAGGGACUACCUGAUAAAGAUUUUAGAUGAUAGUGAUUCAAAUAUUUCCGUGGUUCAGAAAUUGCCUGUCCCCCUUGAGUCUGUAAAAGAGAUGCUGAACUCAGUUAUGCAGGAACUUGAAGACUACAGUGAAGGAGGUACUCUUUAUAAAAAUGGUUGCUUUCGAAGUGCUGAUUCAGAGUUAAAGCAUUCAACACCAUCUCCUACCAAAUAUUCUCUAUCACCAAGUAAAAGUUACAAGUAUUCGCCAAAAACACCACCUCGAUGGGCAGAAGAUCAAAAUUCUUUAUUGAAAAUGAUCUGCCAGCAAGUAGAGGCCAUUAAGAAAGAAAUGCAGGAAUUGAAGCUAAAUAGCAACAAUUCUGCAUCCCCUCAUCGCUGGCCUGCAGAACAUUACCGACAAGACCCAGUUCCUGAUGGGUAUCAGGGGUCACAAACUUUUCAUGGGGCUCCACUAACAGGUGAGCUGGCAACUAAACAAACCCUGUAUUCCAAUAAAAUACCUCUCUUUUUAGAUUCUUUCUCUUUUUUUAUAGUGCUAAGACUUAAACUUAGAGCCUCAUGCUUGCUAGAUAGGUGUUCUACUCUGAUCUCUAUAUACCCCAGCUCAGUCCUCUUGGCCCUAUUUAAAUAGGUAACUUGUGAAUUUAACUUGUUUGUGGUUUUGUACAUUUUAGAAUAUAUCUGCUGGGUUGGGGAUUUAGCUCAGUGAGGCCCUGGGUUCGGUCCCCAGCUCCGAAAAAAAAAAAAAAAGACUAUAUCUGCUUAACUGUUUACAAAAACACUAUAUUUAGUACACUGAAAUUUUAUAAAUCCAAUCAGAG